rnacentral:rRNA from 1 species
UACGAAGGGGGCGAGCGUUGUUCGGAUUUACUGGGCGUAAAGGGCGCGUAGGCGGCCCUCUUUGUCGCGUGUGAAAGCCCCGGGCUCAACCUGGGAAUUGCGCGCGAAACGGGGGGGCUUGAGUUCGGGAGAGGAGCGUGGAAUUCCCGGUGUAGAGGUGAAAUUCGUAGAUAUUGGGAAGAACACCGGUGGCGAAGGCGGCGCUCUGGACCGAGACUGACGCUGAGGCGCGAAAGCGUGGGGAGCAAACAGG